AACCAGAGACCUGUGUUAGGCUAAUACCACGGAGAAGGGGAACUGUGUUGCUUUUGGCUUUGUCAAGACCGACACGUCUGUUUCUUGCUACUAUUGCUUAACUUCUCCCAAUGUUGUCUAACAAUUCGGCGCUCGAGAGGCAGAGUCUCAAGGAAACUUAGAUCUUGGCAGAUUACUUCUCCUCCGAUUCUUCGGAAUUGGGGUUUUGAGUCGUCUUUUGUCAUUCAUGGUCUUCGAUUGUUGCCAUUCUUUUAUGGAUGAGACAGAAGUAGCCCCGCCGACAGGUACUAAGAUUAAGUAGGAUGCACGAUUUUGAAUUCUCUCAACCGUUUGCGGUUGGGAUUGAGUUCGAUCGUCUUUGUUGUCAUUCUACCGCGGUAUAUUCCUGAACACUGUGAAGAUCCUAGUUGGUCGAUUAUCACUUGGGUAAAACCAUACCGCAGACAAUU
rnacentral:snoRNA from 1 species